rnacentral:rRNA from 1 species
CCUACGGGUGGCAGCAGUAGGGAAUCUUUCACAAUGGGCGAAAGCCUGAUGGAGCAACGCCGCGUGCAGGAUGAAGGCAUUCGGGUUGUAAACUGCUUUUAUAAGCGAGAAAUAUGAUGGUAACUUAUGAAUAAGGAUCGGCUAACUACGGGCCAGCAGCCGCGGUCAUACGUAGGAUCCGAGCAUUAUCCGGAGUGACUGGGUGUAAAGAGUUGCGUAGGUUGCAUAAUAAGUAGCUAGGGAAAUCUGGUGGCUCAACCAUUCAGACUAUUAGCUAAACUGUUAAGCUCGAGACCGUUAGGGGUAACUGGAAUGUCUAGUGUAGGAGUGAAAUCCGUAGAUAUUAGAAGGAACACCAAUAGCGUAGGCAGGUUGCUGGGACGGUUCUGACACUAAGGCACGAAAGCGUAGGGAGCAAACGGGAUUAGAUACCCCAGUAGUC